GACGAACGCUGGCGGCGUGCUUAACACAUGCAAGUCGAACGGUAAGGCCCUUCGGGGUACACGAGUGGCGAACGGGUGAGUAACACGUGGGUGAUCUGCCCUGCACUUCGGGAUAAGCCUGGGAAACUGGGUCUAAUACCGGAUAGGACUCCGGACUGCAUGGUCUGGGGUGGAAAGCUUUUGCGGUGUGGGAUGGGCCCGCGGCCUAUCAGCUCGUUGGUGGGGUGAUGGCCUACCAAGGCGACGACGGGUAGCCGGCCUGAGAGGGUGACCGGCCACACUGGGACUGAGAUACGGCCCAGACUCCUACGGGAGGCAGCAGUGGGGAAUAUUGCACAAUGGGCGCAAGCCUGAUGCAGCGACGCCGUGUGAGGGAUGACGGCCUUCGGGUUGUAAACCUCUUUCAGCACCGACGAAGCGCAAGUGACGGUAGGUGCAGAAGAAGGACCGGCCAACUACGUGCCAGCCGCCGCCGUAA
rnacentral:rRNA from 1 species